AUAGGAUUAAGAGGUAAUAGCAUGGACUUUACAUUACAGCGGGAUUAAGAGGUAAUAACAUGGACUUUACAUUACAGCGGGAUAAAGAGGUAGUAACAUGGACUUUACAUUACAGUGGGAUAAAGAGGUAAUAACAUGGACUUCUACGUUAUAGCAUAGGAUUAAGAGGUAAUAACAUGGACUUUACAUUACAGCGGGAUAAAGAGGUAAUAACAUGGACUUUACAUUACAGCAGGAUUAAGAGGUAAUAACAUGGACUUUACAUUACAGUGGGACUAAGAGGUAGUAACAUGGACUUUACAUUACAGUGGGAUAAAGAGGUAAUAACAUGGACUUCUACGUUAUAGCAUAGGAUUAAGAGGUAAUAACAUGGACUUUACAUUACAGUGGGACUAAGAG
rnacentral:lncRNA from 1 species